CAGCAGCCGCGGUAAUACCGGCGGCCCGAGUGGCGGUCACUAUUAUUGGGCUUAAAGCGUCCGUAGCCGGGUUGGGAAGUCCUCCGGGAAAUCUGGCCGCUUAACGGUCAGAAUGCCGGAGGAUACUCCCAGCCUAGGGAGCGGGGGAGGCCGAGGGGAUUCCCGGAGUAGGGGUGAAAUCCUAUAAUCCCGGGAGGACCACCUGGGGCGAAGGCGCUCGGCUGGAACGCGGCCGACGGUGAGGGACGAAGGCCAGGGGAGCAAACCGGAUUAGAUACCCGGGUAGUCCUGGCUGUAAACGAUGCGGACUUUGUGUCGGACAAGCUAUGAGCUUGUCCGGUGCCGGAGGGAAACCGUUAAGUCCGCCGCCUGGGGAGUACGGCCGCAAGGCUGAAACUUAAAGGAAUUGGCGGG
rnacentral:rRNA from 1 species